AUGCGGUCUUCCACUCCCUCUGUCAAAGGUGGGGCACUCCGUGACUGGAUGUAUUUGUUUCUGUCACACAAACAGCAAAUGCUACAGGUACUGCUCCCGAGCAGGGGCGGGGAGCCGCUCAGAGGGGGAUGCAUUCAUGGUCCCCUGGAUGGAAGGACUCCUGUACAUGUUUCCUCCCAUACCUCUGAUCCAGAAGGCGAUCAUCAAGAUUUGCCAAGACCGAGCCAAUGCCAUCUUGAUUGCUCCCUGGUGGCCUCGCCAGCUCUGGUUUGCCCCACUACUUCAGAUGGCAGUGAGUCACCUUCGGCUCCCAGACCUUCCUCAUCUACUCUCCCUCCACAAUGGCAGGACACUCCAUCCGGAUCUGGAGUCCCUGCAUCUUACAGCCUGGAGGCUGGACCUUUGGUAGAGGACGUCCUUAGUCGAGCCCGUAGGCCCUCUACUUUGGCCACAUAUGUGCGUAAAUGGAAGUCUUUCUGUGACUUUGCAGCUGAACACGACUUACCUGUGUGCCCCACAUCACUGGACACUCUUCUGAGGUUUCUUCUCUUCUUUCUGCUUGGCUUGUCACAUUCUUCCCUGAAGGUAUACAUUUCUGCGAUAGUUACAUAUCAGCCACCUCUAUCCGACGCAGCCAAGUUAUUUCAGCAUCCUACACUAAAACAGUUCCUGAAGGGUCUCCGUAAUAUGCGUCCAGCCUACAAACCAUCCACUCCACAGUGGUCUCUUCAGAUGGUCCUCCACAAAUUGAUGUCUCCUCCGUUUGAACCUCUGGCUUCCACGUCAUUAAGGUUACUUACCUUCAAGACGGCUUUCCUUCUUGCUGUCACUUUGGCAAGGCGUGCAAGUGAACUGACAGCGAUGUGGGUGGACCCACCUUUUAUACAAUAUCAUCCUGAUAAAGUCACCCUGUUUCCAGAUGUUUCCUUUCUUCCAAAGGUAGCCCCAUCUUUCCACCACAAUCAGCCGGUGGUCCUUCCUACCUUUUUUCCUAACCCUACGUCUGGAAAAAUCUCUCCAUUCCCUAGAUGUCAAGAGAGCCCUGGCCUACUACAUUUCCAGGACUAA
rnacentral:lncRNA from 1 species